UACAGAGGUGGCAAGCGUUGUUCGGAAUUACUGGGCGUAAAGGGCGCGUAGGCGGCCUUCUAAGUCAGACGUGAAAUCCCCCGGCUUAACCUGGGAACUGCGUCUGAUACUGGGAGGCUUGAGUAUGGGAGAGGGAUGUAGAAUUCCAGGUGUAGCGGUGAAAUGCGUAGAUAUCUGGAGGAAUACCGGUGGCGAAGGCGGCAUCCUGGGCCAUUACUGACGCUGAGGCGCGAAAGCUAGGGGAGCAAACGGG
rnacentral:rRNA from 1 species